rnacentral:rRNA from 1 species
UGGGAAAUUGCACAAUGGGCGAAAGCCUGAUGCAGCGACGCCGCGUGAGGGAUGACGGGCCUUCGGGCUUGGUAAAACCUCUUUCAGCAGGGAAGAAGCGAAAGUGACGGUACCUGCAGAAGAAGCGCCGGCUAACUACGUGCCAGCAGCCGCGGUAAUACGUAGGGCGCAAGCGUUGUCCGGAAUUAUUGGGCGUAAAGAGCUCGUAGGCGGUUAGUCGCGUCUGCUGUGAAAACUCGAGGCUCAACCUCGGGCUUGCAGUGGGUACGGGCUGACUAGAGUGCGGUAGGGGGUGACUGGAAUUCCUGGUGUAGCGGUGGAAUGCGCAGAUAUCAGGAGGAACACCGAUGGCGAAGGCAGGUCACUGGGCCGCAACUGACGCUGAGGAGCGAAAGCAUGGGGAGCGAACAGGAUUAGAUACCCUGGUAGUCCAUGCCGUAAACGUUGGGCACUAGGUGUGGGGUCCA